AGCCACCCCCUGUCUCUGCAGGAAGCCCUCCACCACUAGUAGGUUCUGAUUAAAAGACAGCUCUGCCAGCCAUUGUGUCUUAGUUGGAAUGAAAACCCCUUGAAGAGCAGUAUUACUGUGUGUGAACAUAAGUACAAAUAAUUCUGCAGCCUGGAUAUAUCCUCUUAUAUUUUUCCUAGUGUGUUUCACCUCAUGGAAUCACCUGUUGUCUGGAUCUUUAUUUAGCUAAAUUACUGGGGACACAGGUUCGAGCCCUGGUCCGGGAAGAUCCCACGUGCUGCG